CGGGUGAGUAACGCGUGGGUAACCUGCCUCACACAGGGGGAUAACAGUUGGAAACGGCCGCUAAUACCGCAUAAGCGCACAGUACCGCAUGGUACAGUGUGAAAAACUCCGGUGGUGUGAGAUGGACCCGCGUCUGAUUAGCUAGUUGGCAGGGCAACGGCCUACCAAGGCGACGAUCAGUAGCCGACCUGAGAGGGUGACCGGCCACAUUGGGACUGAGACACGGCCCAA
rnacentral:rRNA from 1 species